GACGAACGCUGGCGGCGUGCUUAACACAUGCAAGUCGAACGGAAAGGCCCCUUUGGGGGUACUCGAGUGGCGAACGGGUGAGUAACACGUGAGUAACCUGCCCUUGACUUCGGGAUAACUUCAGGAAACUGGGGCUAAUACCGGAUAGGAAUCCUUGCUGCAUGGUGGGGGUUGGAAAGCUUCGGCGGUUUUGGAUGGACUCGCGGCUUAUCAGCUUGUUGGUGGGGUAGUGGUUUACCAAGGCUUUGACGGGUAGCCGGCCUGAGAGGGCGACCGGCCACAUUGGGACUGAGAUACGGCCCAGACUCCUACGGGAGGCAGCAGUGGGGAAUAUUGCACAAUGGGCGGAAGCCUGAUGCAGCAACGCCGCGUGCGGGAUGACGGCCUUCGGGUUGUAAACCGCUUUCAGCAGGGGCGAAGCUUGUGGUGACGGUACCUGCAGAAGAAGCACCGGCUAACUACGUG
rnacentral:rRNA from 1 species